CCCGGUCUGAAAGAAGGAGAAAAGGGCCAUCAUUGGAGGGCUUUUCAGUGCCAAAACGUGGACCAGCCCGGCAAGGUCAGAGGUCCUGGACCGCGGGAGACCAAAGUAAUGAUGAUGUCAUGAGAAACCUCAAGUACACACGGCUAUUGACACGCAUGAGUGACCGGACACCGGCCCCAGCCCCGUCUGGCCGCCGGCAUCGCCUCCUCGCCGGCUGCAGGGAGAUCCGCCCGCCGCCUUUACCUUCCUCUACCUUCCUCCGGCCAGCGCAAACCGCUCUAAUCUCCAAAAGACUGGAAGCAACGCUCUAAGGAUACAUAAAGCCCUUUUUUUUUCCUCUCCAGGCCUGCAUUUCUCCUCCUGGCAGCCUGCGCUUGUGCAGAGGGAUGCGAAGGGCACUUGGCUGAGGCUCGGAGCCGGGGCCUCGCUCACAUCUCAGGUAUCAGAUAUCCUGGUAUGGGGGAGACACUGCAAUUUACCACCAGUGCUAUAUACCUGAGAGACGUAAGAGGUCUCCAGAUGGCUGUGACGUAAAGGAGAAACAUCCUGCGUGGAUUUCUUAAGAAUAAACAGUCUCCAUUGACUUCAAAGAGGAAUGCUUAUGAUUCUCUAAUUAUUGCAAUCAGCAAUCCCCACCUUCUGCGAGGAAGACACACAGCAACCCCCCUUCACCUUCUGUGGGGUACAUAGGAGGGGUGUAGCAUUACAUAAAUCCCCAUUUCGCACUAAAUUAUGAUAGAAUUCACUUAGAUGCAAAUCACGGCACGCCAGUCCAGCCCCGGCCAGCUUUCCCUGCAGAGCAUCCCUUUCCACCCAGCCAGUAAGUCACUUGACUGACUCGCCUUCUGAUAAAGGUGCCUUAUCAUUUGUUUUGUGACCACAACUUCGGUUUACAGGCAACCGCACGUUACACUUCUGUUACGUUGAGCAUAUGCAUAUGAGUACAUGCAAAGUGAUAUGUAACACAAAUCCAAAUUACGAAAUAAUAAUAAGCAGACUAUCGAGAAAUCAAAAUCUCCGGGAAAACAAAACAAAACACUAAAACCGCUAUUAGUAAUUACACAUGGAAACACUGCGUGCUGAUAAAGAACAUAUAUCUGCAGGUAAUGCAUAUAGUAUCAUCUGACUUCUAUUAAACAACAAAAAAAUAAAAUUACCAUUUCUUGUCGUGAUUGUCACUCCCUGUUGUCUGUCUGCGUUGUCUGAAUCUGAAAAAUAACCAUCAAUAAAGCAAAGGAUCAUAAUUUAAA